AGUGAACGCUGGCGGUAGGCCUAACACAUGCCAGUCGAACGGCAGCACAGGAGAGCUUGCCCUCUGGGUGGCGAGUGGCGGACGGGUGAGGAAUACAUCGGAAUCUGCCCAGUCGUGGGGGAUAACGUAGGGAAACUUACGCUAAUACCGCAUACGACCUUCGGGUGAAAGAGGGGGAUCGCAAGACCUCUCGCGAUUGGAUGAGCCGAUGUCGGAUUAGCUAGUUGGCGGGGUAAUGGCCCACCAAGGCGACGAUCCGUAGCAGGUCUGAGAGGAUGAUCAGCCACACUGGAACUGAGACACGGUCCAGACUCCUACGGGAGGCAGCAGUGGGGAAUAUUGGACAAUGGGCGCAAGCCUGAUCCAGCCAUACCGCGUGGGUGAAGAAGGCCUUCGGGUUGUAAAGCCCUUUUGUUGGGAAAGAAAUCUUUCAGGCUAAUACCCUGGGAGGAUGACGGUACCCAAAGAAUAAGCACCGGCUAACUUCGUG
rnacentral:rRNA from 1 species